rnacentral:rRNA from 1 species
CAAGUCGAACGCGAAAGAAGCCUUCGGGUUUCAAGUAGAGUGGCGUCCGGGUGAGUAACACGUAGGUAAUCUACCUUCGGGUGGGGAAUAACGCAGGGAAACUUGCGCUAAUACCGCAUAAUGCAGCGGCACCACAUGGUGACAGUUGUUAAAGCGGGGGCUUCUCGGACCUCGCGCCUGAAGAGGAGCCUGCGGCAGAUUAGCUAGUUGGUAGGGUAACGGCUUACCAAGGCGACGAUCUGUAACCGGCCUGAGAGGGCGGUCGGUCACACUGACACUGACAUACGGGUCAGACUCCUACGGGAGGCAGCAGUCGGGAAUUUUGGGCAAUGGGCGAAAGCCUGACCCAGCAACGCCGCGUGAAGGAUGAAAUCCUUCGGGAUGUAAACUUCGCAAGAAUGGGAAGAAUGAGCGAGUACUAAUACUGCUCGUGAUGACGGUACCAUUUGUAAGCUCCGGCUAACUCCGUGCCAGCAGCCGCGGUAAUACGGGGGGAGCAAGCGUUGUUCGGAUUUACUGGGCGUAAAGGGCGCGUAGGCGGCCAGCGCAAGUCAGUUGUGAAAUCUCCGGGCUUAACUCGGAAAGGUCAACUGAUACUGCGCGGCUAGAGUGCAGAAGGGGCAACUGGAAUUCUCGGUGUAGCGGUGAAAUGCGUAGAUAUCGAGAGGAACACCUGCGGCGAAGGCGGGUUGCUGGGCUGACACUGACGCUGAUGCGCGAAAGCCAGGGGAGCGAACGGGAUUAGAUACCCCGGUAGUCCUGGCCUUAAACGAUGGAUGCUUGGUGUUUGGAGUUUUAUAGUCUCCGGGGUGCC